rnacentral:rRNA from 1 species
CUAAGAAUCUUCCGCAAUGGGCGAAAGCCUGACGGAGCGACGCCGCGUGGACGAUGAAGGUCUUCGGAUUGUAAAGUCAUUUCGGGGAGGAAGAAUAAGCGUACUCUAACAGAGUGCGUGAUGACGACCCUCCCAAAAGAAGCUCCGGCUAACUACGUGCCAGCAGCCGCGGCAAUACGUAGGGAGUAAGCGUUGUUCGGAAUUACUGGGCGUAAAGGGUGUGUAGGCGGGAACGCAAGUUGGGUGUGAAAUCUACGGGCUCAACUCGUAAACUGCCCUCAAAACUGCGUUUCUUUAGUAUGGGAGAGGAGUCUUGAAUUCCCAGUGUAGGGGUGAAAUCUGUAGAUAUUGGGAAGAACAUCAGUGGCGAAGGCGAGACUCUGGCCUAAUACUGACGCUGAGACACGAAAGCGUGGGGAGCAAACA